rnacentral:rRNA from 1 species
UGGGGAAUUUUGGACAAUGGGGGCAACCCUGAUCCAGCCAUUCCGCGUGAGUGAAGAAGGCCUUCGGGUUGUAAAGCUCUUUCGGCAGGAACGAAACGGCGAGCUCUAACAUAGCUCGCUAAUGACGGUACCUGAAGAAGAAGCACCGGCUAACUACGUGCCAGCAGCCGCGGUAAUACGUAGGGUGCGAGCGUUAAUCGGAAUUACUGGGCGUAAAGCGUGCGCAGGCGGUUGUGUAAGACAGGUGUGAAAUCCCCGGGCUUAACCUGGGAACUGCGCUUGUGACUGCACGACUAGAGUAUGGCAGAGGGGGGUGGAAUUCCACGUGUAGCAGUGAAAUGCGUAGAGAUGUGGAGGAACACCGAUGGCGAAGGCAGCCCCCUGGGCCAAUACUGACGCUCAUGCACGAAAGCGUGGGGAGCAAACAGGAUUAGAUACCCUGGUAGUCCACGCCCUAAACGAUGUCGACUAGGUGUUCGGUGAGGAGACUCAUUGAGUACCGCAGCUAACGCGUGAAGUCGACCGCCUGGGGAGUACGGUCGCAAGAUUA